rnacentral:rRNA from 1 species
UACAGAGGUCUCAAGCGUUGUUCGGAUUCAUUGGGCGUAAAGGGUGCGUAGGUGGCAGGGUAAGUCGGGGGUGAAAUCCCGGGGCUCAACCCCGGAACUGCACUCGAUACUGCCUUGCUCGAGUACUGGAGAGGAGACUGGAAUUUACGGUGUAGCAGUGAAAUGCGUAGAUAUCGUAAGGAAGACCAGUGGCGAAGGCGAGUCUCUGGACAGUUACUGACACUGAGGCACGAAGGCCAGGGGAGCAAACGGG